rnacentral:rRNA from 1 species
AUUGAACGCUGGCGGCAGGCCUAACACAUGCAAGUCGAGCGAGCGGCGGACGGGUGAGUAAUGUAUGGGGACUGCCCGAUAGAGGGGGAUAACUACUGGAAACGGUGGCUAAUACCGCAUACUAUCGGAUACCCCCUAUGGGAUUAGCUAGUAGGGGGGGUAAAGGCUCACCUAGGCGACGAUCUCUAGCUGGUCUGAGAGGAUGAUCAGCCAAACUGGGACUUAGACACGGCCCAGACUCCUACGGAGGCAGCAGGGGGGAAUAUUGAACAAUGGGCGCAAGCCUGAUGCAGCCAUGCCGCGUGUAUGAAGAAGGUCUUCGGGUUGUAAAGUACUUUCAGCGAGGAGGCGUUACUCGCAGAAGAAGCAACGGCUAACUCCGUGCCAGCAGCCGCGGUAAUUC